GAUGAACGCUAGCUACAGGCUUAACACAUGCAAGUCGAGGGGCAGCAUGACCUAGCAAUAGGUUGAUGGCGACCGGCGCACGGGUGAGUAACACGUAUCCAACCUGCCGAUUAUUCCGGGAUAGCCUUUCGAAAGAAAGAUUAAUACUGGAUAGCAUAACGAGAAGGCAUCUUCUUGUUAUUAAAGAAUUUCGAUAAUCGAUGGGGAUGCGUUCCAUUAGUUUGUUGGCGGGGUAACGGCCCACCAAGACAUCGAUGGAUAGGGGUUCUGAGAGGAAGAUCCCCCACAUUGGAACUGAGACACGGUCCAAACUCCUACGGGAGGCAGCAGUGAGGAAUAUUGGUCAAUGGACGAGAGUCUGAACCAGCCAAGUAGCGUGAAGGAGGACUGCCCUAUGGGUUGUAAACUUCUUUUAGAUGGGAAUAAAGUGGGCCACGUGUGGCUUUUUGUAUGUACCAUACGAAUAAGGAUCGGCUAACUCCGUG
rnacentral:rRNA from 1 species